AACUUACAUGUGAAGCAGAGCUGGGUCCCAGCUUGUCAUGGCCUGGACUGUUGGCUCUCUCUGUGAUCCCACCGUGUCCGGAAUUGGUGGGUUCUUGGUCUCACUGACUUCAUGAAUGAAGCCGCGGACUCUUGCGCAUUCGACAUUGCUACACAAAUUUAGUCAUGCAGCCCAGCAGCCACCGAGUGCCUACUGAAUUUCCUGUCACCCAGAGCCUGAAUUUCCUGUCACUGGGCAUAACAUUUUAAAAAUAUUAUUGUUUUUUUAAACCCUGGCACUGAACCAGUUUUUCUUCUUCAUCUUGACUUAAUGCCUCUCCCUUCUCUUCUCUCAUCUUCUUCUCCUGGCUCCACUCACCUCCUCUGUAGCCAGGAACCCACAGUUGGCUAUUUCGGCCGUGUGUCCAGAGUCUGGAAUCCCUCGUCCCCUUGGGCUUGCACUGUGGCCAGU
rnacentral:lncRNA from 1 species